GACGAACGCUGGCGGCGUGCUUAACACAUGCAAGUCGAACGGUGAAGCGCCUUCCUUUUUGGUGGGUGUGGAUGAGUGGCGAACGGGUGAGUAACACGUGAGUAACCUGCCCCCUUCUUCUGGAUAACCGCAUGAAAGUGUGGCUAAUACGGGAUAUUCUGGGUCUGUCGCAUGAUGGGUCUGGGAAAGAUAUUGUUUCGGUGGGGGAUGGGCUCGCGGCCUAGCGGUUUGUUGGUGGGGUGAUGGCCUACCAAGGCGGUGAGGGGUGGCCGGCCGGGGAGGGUGGACGGUCAUGGUGGGACUGAGAGGCGGCCAAGACUACUGGGGGCGGCAGUGGGGGGGAAUAGAGCACGAUGGGCGGAAGGAUGAUGCAGCGCCGCGUGGGUGGAGAUGGUGGCCUGCGGGUUGUGAACCUCUUGCGCGAGUGAAGCAGGGCUGCCUCGUUUGUGGGUGGGUUGACGGUAGCUGGAGAAGAAGCGCCGGCUAACUACGUG
rnacentral:rRNA from 1 species